rnacentral:rRNA from 1 species
GUACCUACGGGAGGCAGCAGUGGGGAAUAUUGCACAAUGGGGGGAACCCUGAUGCAGCGACGCCGCGUGAGUGAAGAAGUAUUUCGGUAUGUAAAGCUCUAUCAGCAGGGAAGAAGAUGACGGUACCUGACUAAGAAGCCCCGGCUAACUACGUGCCAGCAGCCGCGGUAAUACGUAGGGGGCAAGCGUUAUCCGGAUUUACUGGGUUUAAAGGGUGCGUAGGCGGUUGGAUAAGUUAGAGGUGAAAUCCCGGGGCUCAACUCCGGAAUUGCCUCUGAUACUGUUCGGCUAGAGAUCAGUUGCGG